rnacentral:lncRNA from 1 species
GCCUUGGCCUCUAGUAAAUGGCGGAGGUGGUUUUAAUUUUUUUGAGGGCUGAGGAGAUCACUUCCGAAGGCGGAUCAGUGUAACAGACAAAGCAACUCUGUCACAAAAGGAAGCCUUCAUCUUUUUAAAGUGGGGGUGAAAGCAGCAGGAGUGCAUAAAAUGGCAUAUUUCCUUUCUGAAGACAAAGGAGACAAAAAGACCAGUGUAAUGUUCUGUCUCCCAGGCUGGAGUGCAGUGGUAUGAUCACAGCUAACUGCAGCCCCCCUGGGCUGAAUCUGUCCUCCUGCUUCAGCCUCCUGAGUAGCUGGAACUACAGGUACAUGCCACCACACUCAGCUAAUUUUUGUAUUUCUUUGAGAGAUAGGGUAUCGUCACGUUGCCCAGGCUGGUCUCAAACUCCUGAGCUCAACUGAUCUACCUGCCUCAGCCUCCCAAAGUGCUGGGAUUAUAGGUGUGAGCCACCGUGCCCGGCCUAAGUUCAUUAGCUUUCUACGCUCAAGUCUUUUGGAGAAGUUUGAGAUGUGACAGCAGCAGGCAUCAGAGGCUAGCAGCUCUCCCCCACCAUGAAGAAUUUUUCCCAUUCAGAUUCCAGCUUCCCCCUCUCACACCACCCCAGAGGGCAUGGAGAAGCUGGCUUUGCUCAGGAACCACAAUAAAGUGUAGUUUGUUAUGUGUGAAUGUAGAGCAUGCUGUUCUCCGUCCAACAUAAAUCCAUUUUUAUAACCAAAACUAUAAAUGACAGUGGAGCCAAAUUUGCUACUUUUUGGACAGACAUCUUAC